rnacentral:rRNA from 1 species
UACGAAGGGUGCAAGCGUUACUCGGAAUUACUGGGCGUAAAGCGUGCGUAGGUGGUGAGUUAAGUCGGAUGUGAAAUCCCUCGGCUCAACUGAGGAAGUGCAUCCGAAACUGGCAGGCUUGAGUACUAAAGAGGGUCGCGGAAUUCCCGGUGUAGAGGUGAAAUUCGUAGAUAUCGGGAGGAACACCGGUGGCGAAGGCGGCGACCUGGGUAGAUACUGACGCUGAGGUGCGAAAGCGUGGGGAGCAAACAGG